GAACUCUUUUAGAAGAGUCUACCUAUUCCACUUUGACUUGAUUCUAUCAAAAAAUCUUGUGGGUCGACUGUGGGCAUUGAGACCCAAAUUGAAGAUGCUAUUAAGGAUUGGCUAAAAUAUGCGACAGUCAGAGUAUUUUCAGUGGAGAAAAAAACAAUCUAAUUUCGUCGGUAAUUAAAAAGUAUUAUGAAAUGAAA